UCGUACUUGUUAAAACAGGUUUUUUCCAGUUUCGAGAGUUUAUUGGAAUUUUCCUUCUGUUCCCACUUCUCAGUUCAGAAAACUCGUCCCACUCCCCAGUUUCGGAAUUCGGGUUUCCUCAAAUUCAAAAUGGCGAAGGACGGACACGGACGAUGCCAAGAGAACGUAGUUUUCACUGUUCGUUUAAGAGCAAGCUUGUUUUGUUCUCUUAUAAAGGUUAAUUUUUUGCUUCUGCUAAUCUCCCUACUGCUAAUCAUAUACAAUUGGGAAGGAAUACCCUGCGUCCAAGCUACCAAAUCAUCUACUGUUGUUCAUUAGACAUCUACUAAGGGCAAUUUAUUUGUAAACCUGGGCAAUGUAGAAAGCAUUCAUUCUAUUUAAGUGCAUUUGGAGAUGAGCCCUAUUCUACUGAACAGUGCAGUGCCAAUAUAGACAACCAUGUACAGUACAGGAAAGACCAUGGCUAAUCAUACAAGGCAAUCUGUUGAUCAGUUGACUGAGAAAAGGCAUGAGACAAAACUGAAGGCAUUCCAAGUUGUAUCCCGAUUUUGCUCCUCCAAGGUUGUUUGCCGAAUGUACUCCUCCAGCAUCCUGAACAAAGGCAUAUGGCGAACUUUCAACCACUCUAUCAGUAUUAAAUGUACACAGUACUUGAGCUAUAAUUGCCAGUCAACUUUAUGUUCCUUUUAACUGUAGUUUAAAUUGUAUA